rnacentral:rRNA from 1 species
GUCUAUGGCCAUGCCACCCUGAGCAAGCCUGAAACCGUCUGAUUUCGGAAGCUAAGCAAGGUCGGGCCUGGUUAGUACUUGGAUGGGAGACCACCUAGGAAGACCAGGUGCUGUAGGCA